rnacentral:rRNA from 1 species
UGAUCCUGCCGGAGGAUACCGCUUUUGGAGUGAUUAAGCCAUGCGAGUCAGGUACCUAGAGUGCCCGGCGAACGGCUUAGUAACACGUGGAUAAUCUACCCUAUGGUAGCGGAUAACCUCGGGAAACUGAGGAUAAUACGUUAUGGUGAACAGCGAUUGGAACAUUCUUUUCAUGAAAGCCCUCGGGCGCCAUAGGAUGAGUCUGCGGCGGAUUAGGCUGUUGGUGAGGUAAUGGCUCGCCAAACCUACGAUCUGUACGGGUUGUGAGAGCAAUAGCCCGAAGAAUGGUACUGAGACAAGGACCAUAGCCCUACGGGGUGCAGCAGGCGCGAAACCUUUACAAUGCACGAAAGUGUGAUAAGGGGACUCCAAGUGUCUACAUUCGUAGACUUUUGCUAAGUUUAGAAAGCUUGGCGAAUAAGGACUGGGUAAGACCCGUGCCAGCCGCCGCGGUAACACGGGCAGUUCUAGUGGUUUCCACGCAUAUUGGGCCUAAAGCGUGCGUAGCCGGCUUAGUGAGUCCUUAGUGAAAUCUGGCAGCUUAACUGUCAGGCUUGCUAGGGAGACCGCAAUGCUUGGAGCCGGGAAGGGUUGGAGGAAUAUCAGGGCGUAGGAGGUAAUCCUGUGAUCCUGGAG